CUACGGGUCGCUGCAGUUAGGAAUAUUUUACAAUGCACGCAAGUGUGAUAAAUUGAGCUAGAGUGCUUUCCAAAUUGGAAAGCUUUUGUGAAAUCUAAAAAGUUUUACGAAUAAGGACUGGGUAAGACGAGUGCCAGCCGCCGCGGUAAUACUCGCGGUCCAAGUCGCAGCCAUUUUUAUUGGGUCUAAAACAUCCGUAGCUUGCUUAGUAAGUUUCUUGUGAAAUCUUAAUUCUUAAAAUUGAGGAGUGCAAGAAGUACUGCUGAGCUAGAGACUGGAAGACGUAAGAAGUACGUUUGAAGUAGCGGUAAAAUGUGUUAAUCUCAGACGGACUAUCAAUAGCGAAGGCAUCUUACGAGGACAGUUCUGACAGUAAGGGAUGAAGGCUAGGGGCGCAAAACGGAUUAGAUACCCUCGUAGUC
rnacentral:rRNA from 1 species